UAAGGAAUAUUGGUCAAUGGACGGAAGUCUGAACCAGCCAUGCCGCGUGCAGGAAGACGGCCCUACGGGUUGUAAACUGCUUUUGCAGGGGAAUAAACCUCUCUACGUGUAGAGAGCUGAAUGUACUCUGAGAAUAAGGAUCGGCUAACUCCGUGCCAGCAGCCGCGGUAAUACGGAGGAUCCAAGCGUUAUCCGGAUUUAUUGGGUUUAAAGGGUGCGUAGGUGGCCUGUUAAGUCAGGGGUGAAAGACGGUAGCUUAACUAUCGCAGUGCCCUUGAUACUGAUGGGCUUGAAUGAACUAGAGGUAGGCGGAAUGUGACAAGUAGCGGUGAAAUGCAUAGAUAUGUCACAGAACACCAAUUGCGAAGGCAGCUUACUAUGGUUUUAUUGACACUGAGGCACGAAAGCGUGGGGAUCAAACA
rnacentral:rRNA from 1 species